rnacentral:lncRNA from 1 species
UGUUUGUCAUACACUAUGUGAAUUAUUGUUAGUUUGGGAUAUAGGCUGACCCCUAAUCUUUGGUAGGGGUACACUAUCAAUGUGGGUUAACUUUGCCUAGAAAUAUAGACCCCGUGGUGACUCCAUUUUUCAACUCCAAGCCAACUCCUUUUGUCGACGUCUAAUGUCAACAGGUUUAACGUAUUAUCGGCUUUAUGAAUUUCCUGGAUGAUCACAAUUGUUGCGGGCGAUUACAACGCACCAAUUUAGCUAGAGCCCAUGACAAGAGGCUUGUAUCGGUGGCGGUUGUGUUUCUCCAUCCAUUUUUCUCCUAGAAUUAGAAAUUUGUCUCAGGUAGGCCUUGACUUUUUUUUUAAUUGUAUUUAUUUGGGUUUAAUUUUAAUUUAAAGGGAGGUAUCUACUUACAUUAGUUUGGUUUAAAAGUUAAGUG